GCAGCCUCUGACACGUGACUCGCGGUCUUGUGGGGGAGAGUUAGACGUGGAGCCUGGCCGCGUUCUUCCUUGAGCGAGCUUGUCCCGUCAUUCUGGCCUUCCUCCAAAGGUCUGUAGCUUUAGCGAUGAAUACAGAGGAUUCGACACUUCGUGGGAAAGUACAAUGCCAUGGUUUGAGAAGCACUGACGUUCGUCUUCGGGUAAAUGCGGUUAGUGGAAGUGGCUGCGCUUGGCUGGUUCCGCUGGCUUUUGUUCUGUCCCGAGGCAUUCAUAUAUCUCUCUGUGGCAUUCAUUGAAUCUCAUUUCCGCGUUGGCUGAGCCUCAGACGUGAAGUUCUCUGACUUCCUUCCAAGCGGGGUUGAAAAGCUUCAUUCAUGGCUGUUUGGAGGGACUUCAGAUACCGUUCACAGGAGCGACAACAGGCUCAGGCUCUGAGCUCUUCCCUGCUUGCAGUUCUGCUGCAGUGGUUUAAGUGGAGUGGCGGGGGAGAGGGGCUGUGUCAGAGAAUGCCACUAAGUGCGCAGUGUCAAGAAAGUGUACUGUGGGAAAUGGGUAGCUCUUAGAUGUCCCCAUGUGAACAAGUUUGGGAUUGAGAGGCAAACGGCAACCACAAGAAAGAUUCACAUAACGGCAGGCUGGUGGCAGGGACUACCUUAACAAUUCUCCAGUGUCUGCCUCCAGGAGUUACAGCACCAAUGGUGGUAGUUAGUACAGGAAUGGUUAACAGCAGGCCUUCGCCAGUCCUCAAUGGCAGCCCAAGGACAAAGGGUCCGAGCUGCAGGAUUUGAAGCAGUGUGAGUCACAAAGCUACGGACCUAGAGUAGGGAGCUCUGGGGUCUGAGUCAGUUCUGUUACCAGUCAGCUUUAUGAACAGAGGCAAUAAAUACAUGCCACCUCUCUGGGCCCUCUUUUCUCCCUGUCUCUCUUUAAUUUUAUGUGUUUGAGUUCACAUGUAUGCAGCACUGGCGAGGUCAGAAGAAGGUGUCAGAGCUUUGGGAACAGAAGUUUCAGCUGGUUGUCUGGGUCCUGGGAACUGAACCCAGGUCCUCCAUAAGGUGCUACAGUGGUCACAGAGGGAAGGACAACCACGCUCUGCGGAGAUCCCAUCCCUGAAAACAGAUGUACAUGGAUGACCCUAACAGGAAGCAGGGUGUGACGGGUAUCCUCCGUGGUGGCCAAGCUUGGUUGUCAGCUUGUCAUAUCCAGGAAGAAGGAAUCGCAAUUGAGACAUUGCCUCGGAUGGACUGGCUUGUGGGUGUGUCUGUGGGGCAUUUUCUUGGUUGCUAAUCGGUGUAGGGCCCAGUCCACUGUGGGCAGUACCAUGCCUAGGCAGGUGGGACCGGGCUAUGUAAGUUACUUACCUGGGGAAGCCAGAGGAAGCAGACCGGGAAACAUUCUUUCUCCAUGGUUUCUGCUGCAGCUUUUGCCUCCACUCCAAGUUCCUGCCUUGGCUUCCUCUCAGUGGUGGAUUAUAAUCUGUAAGAUGAGAUAAACCCUUUUCUCCCCAA